UUAGAGCGGGGCACAGAGGCCGAGUUGAACUUGGAAUUUUCAGUCACCGCUGCAGCUGUCUUCUACACUCACACAGUUUAAGAGAAAAACGAGAUAUUCAGAGUAAAUUACGGAAGAGAGAUUUUUUUGGAACCGAAUUUGUGCGAAAAUCUAGUUGCAACGCCCAAGGCAGUCAUCAGUAACUUAAAACGGCGAAAUCUAAAUGGAAAUAUCUGAGAGACAAUUACAGAGAAGAGCUUAAAAGCUUGGUAACGUUAGGUCCGGUGAUCCAGGAAAAAGCCCACAGAAACGCAAUUCCAACACAUGCAUUUCCUAAGGGAUAUUUUAAUUCCAAGAGCAAUGCAGAGUUCGUUGUCAUCAGAAACGGAACCAGCAAGUCAAUCUCAACUAUCUCCAGAAUUUUCGUCUAACGACCACUCUAGUCCACAAUAUGAACGAGAUCAGUCUGAUAUAUCAUCAUUAGUGGCAGUUGAUGAAACGUCACCACUGGCAAGCACAGUAUCACAAAGGAAAAAAAAAGUAGUGGCCCAAAUAUUGAAGAAGAAUUUUUAAAGCUCGAAAAGGACAAAUUAGCUGUGAUGAAGACACAUCA